rnacentral:rRNA from 1 species
UACGUAGGACCCAAGCGUUAUUCGGAUUGAUUGGGCGUAAAGAGUUGCGUAGGUGGUUUGUUAAGCGAAUAGUGAAAUCUUGUGGCUCAACCAUAAGGCUAUUAUUCGAACUAGCAGACUCGAGAAUGGGAGAGGUAUCUGGAAUUUCUAAUGUAGGGGUAAUAUCCGUAGAUAUUAGAAGGAACACCAAUGGCGUAGGCAGGAUACUGGCCCAUUUCUGACACUAAGGCACGAAAGCGUGGGGAGCGAACCGG